GGCUCUGUAGCUCAGUCGGUAGAGCAGUGGCCUGAAGAGCCUCGUGUCGACAGUUCGAUUCUGUCCGGAGCCACCA
rnacentral:tRNA from 18 species